rnacentral:rRNA from 1 species
GACGAACGCUGGCGGCGUGCUUAACACAUGCAAGUCGAACGGAAAGGCCCUGCUUUUGUGGGGUGCUCGAGUGGCGAACGGGUGAGUAACACGUGAGUAACCUGCCCUUGACUUUGGGAUAACUUCAGGAAACUGGGGCUAAUACCGGAUAGGAGCUCCUGCUGCAUGGUGGGGGUUGGAAAGUUUCGGCGGUUGGGGAUGGACUCGCGGCUUAUCAGCUUGUUGGUGGGGUAGUGGCUUACCAAGGCUUUGACGGGUAGCCGGCCUGAGAGGUGACCGGCCACAUUGGGACUGAGAUACGGCCCAGACUCCUACGGGAGGCAGCAGUGGGGAAUAUUGCACAAUGGGCGGAAGCCUGAUGCAGCAACGCCGCGUGCGGGAUGACGGCCUUCGGGUUGUAAACCGCUUUCGCCUGUGACGAAGCGUGAGUGACGGUAAUGGGUAAAGAAGCACCGGCUAACUACGUGCCAGCAGCCGCGGUGAUACGUAGGGUGCGAGCGUUGUCCGGAUUUAUUGGGCGUAAAGGGCUCGUAGGUGGUUGAUCGCGUCGGAAGUGUAAUCUUGGGGCUUAACCCUGAGCGUGCUUUCGAUACGGGUUGACUUGAGGAAGGUAGGGGAGAAUGGAAUUCCUGGUGGAGCGGUGGAAUGCGCAGAUAUCAGGAGGAACACCAGUGGCGAAGGCGGUUCUCUGGGCCUUUCCUGACGCUGAGGAGCGAAAGCGUGGGGAGCGAACAGGCUUAGAUACCCUGGUAGUCCACGCUGUAAACGGUGGGUACUAGGUGUGGGGUCCAUUCCACGGGUUCCGUGCCGUAGCUAACGCUUUAAGUACCCCGCCUGGGGAGUACGGCCGCAAGGCUAAAACUCAAAGGAAUUGACGGGGCCCCGCACAAGCGGCGGAGCAUGCGGAUUAAUUCGAUGCAACGCGUAGAACCUUACCUGGGUUUGACAUGGAUCGGGAGUGCUCAGAGAUGGGUGUGCCUCUUUUGGGGUCGGUUCACAGGUGGUGCAUGGCUGUCGUCAGCUCGUGUCGUGAGAUGUUGGGUUAAGUCCCGCAACGAGCGCAACCCUUGUUCACUGUUGCCAGCACGUUAUGGUGGGGACUCAGUGGAGACCGCCGGGGUCAACUCGGAGGAAGGUGGGGAUGACGUCAAGUCAUCAUGCCCCUUAUGUCCAGGGCUUCACGCAUGCUACAAUGGCUGGUACAGAGAGUGGCGAGCCUGUGAGGGUGAGCGAAUCUCGGAAAGCCGGUCUCAGUUCGGAUUGGGGUCUGCAACUCGACCUCAUGAAGUCGGAGUCGCUAGUAAUCGCAGAUCAGCAACGCUGCGAUGAAUACGUUCCCGGGGCU